rnacentral:misc_RNA from 1 species
UGUUCAGGUGCUUAAAUAGCCUUGCAACAAACAGAACGAGGCAGCCAUCUCCUUCAGUUUGUGCUUGUGUGCCGAUCGAGAGCAAAUGGCAAAUGAUAACCGCAGCCGGGCUUCCGUUCCAGUCGGCAACCCUCCUGCCACUCCAGCUGCUGCUACGGAGGUUAAGCCUCCGGCGGCUGCUCCAGGUAGCGACCCUCCAGCUACGACUCCAGGCAGUGAUUGUCCGGCUGCUCCACCGCAAGGUCCGCCGGGUGAACGAAAGCCCAAGAACGAUCCAUUUCCACCAUUCCCUGAUCCAAUACCUCGCCAGUGAUAGUCGGAAUCCAGUAGUUUCCAUGCUAUAAUGGAUAGAAAAAUCGGUUCAAACGCAUUGGUUCUGGAAUUUUGGUUUCGGAGUCUUAACUUUUUAGUGGAGUUGGGUUCUUAGUAAUAAGUAAAUCGAGCUCCUAUGUGAAGGGUGUAUGGGUGUUAAAUCAUAAUUAUAUUUUGUGAACAGUACAAAAGCAAGUGGAGAAAAGUUUUUUUUUGUGUUUAUAUAUCUUCAUUGAGUACAUUCAAAAUUCCCUGGAAUAGAAGAAGAAACACAAAGUAUCUGCUAUGUUUGCAUUUUUGUGUAUUACAGCUUGCC